rnacentral:lncRNA from 1 species
UUUCGAAGAACUCUUCAUUUAUGUGCAUUUUGGCAUUUCAUGUUAUAACUUGGUAUGCAAGCUAAUUCCACUUCAUGUACAUGUUCAAAUCCAUUCCAAAUGAACUCAGCAUGGUUUUGGACCCGUCAUUGGGUCUCACAUGCGCCUGUACAGGCCCAUGCAUAUCCAAUUUCAAAUGCCAUGCACACGAGGGAAGCAUGAUGCACAUCUAAUUUCAG